UAGGGAAUCUUCCGCAAUGGGCGAAAGCCUGACGGAGCAACGCCGCGUGAGUGAUGAAGGUCUUCGGAUCGUAAAACUCUGUUAUUAGGGAAGAACAAAUGUGUAAGUAACUAUGCACGUCUUGACGGUACCUAAUCAGAAAGCCACGGCUAACUACGUGCCAGCAGCCGCGGUAAUACGUAGGUGGCAAGCGUUAUCCGGAAUUAUUGGGCGUAAAGCGCGCGUAGGCGGUUUUUUAAGUCUGAUGUGAAAGCCCACGGCUCAACCGUGGAGGGUCAUUGGAAGCUGGAAAGCUUGAGGGAAGAAGAGGAGAGUGGAAUUCCAUGUGGAGCGGUGAAAUGCGCAGAGAUAUGGAGGAACACCAGUGGCGAAGGCGACGUUCUGGUCUGUAACUGACGCUGAUGUGCGAAAGCGUGGGGAUCAAACAGG
rnacentral:rRNA from 1 species